AGAGUUUGAUCAUGGCUCAGAUUGAACGCUGGCGGCAUGCCUUACACAUGCAAGUCGAACGGUAACGCGGGGCAACCUGGCGACGAGUGGCGAACGGGUGAGUAAUGCAUCGGAACGUGCCCGGUAGUGGGGGAUAGCUCGGCGAAAGCCGGAUUAAUACCGCAUACGACCUACGGGUGAAAGCGGGGGAUCGCAAGACCUCGCGCUAUUGGAGCGGCCGAUGUCAGAUUAGGUUGUUGGUGGGGUAAAGGCUCACCAAGCCGACGAUCUGUAGCUGGUCUGAGAGGACGACCAGCCACACUGGGACUGAGACACGGCCCAGACUCCUACGGGAGGCAGCAGUGGGGAAUUUUGGACAAUGGGGGCAACCCUGAUCCAGCCAUGCCGCGUGCGGGAAGAAGGCCUUCGGGUUGUAAACCGCUUUUGUCGGGGAAGAAACGCUCCGGGUUAAUACCCCGUGGUAAUGACGGUACCCGAAGAAUAAGCACCGGCUAACUACGUGCCAGCAGCCGCGGUAAUACGUAGGGUGCAAGCGUUAAUCGGAAUUACUGGGCGUAAAGCGUGCGCAGGCGGUCUUGCAAGACAGAUGUGAAAUCCCCGGGCUCAACCUGGGAACUGCAUUUGUGACUGCAAGGCUGGAGUGCGGCAGAGGGGGAUGGAAUUCCGCGUGUAGCAGUGAAAUGCGUAGAUAUGCGGAGGAACACCGAUGGCGAAGGCAAUCCCCUGGGCCUGCACUGACGCUCAUGCACGAAAGCGUGGGGGAGCAAACAGGAUUAGAUACCCUGGUAGUCCACGCCCUAAACGAUGUCAACUGGUUGUUGGACGGCUUGCUGUUCAGUAACGAAGCUAACGCGUGAAGUUGACCGCCU
rnacentral:rRNA from 1 species